GUUGCUUCAUUAUUGACCGAGUGGCUUAUAUUGGCCAUUCACGAUCAGAAGCAUAUAUUAAGAAAAUUAUCCAGUUUUCAACAGCAUGAUGGUUUUACUGUAGUAUCAUGUUACCUGUCUUCUGGUAAAUAA